rnacentral:rRNA from 1 species
GACGAACGCUGGCGGCGUGCCUAAUACAUGCAAGUCGAACGAGUGGCGGACGGGUGAGUAAUGUCUGGGAAACUGCCUGAUGGAGGGGGAUAACUACUGGAAACGGUAGCUAAUACCGCAUACCAUCAGAUGUGCCCUGGUGGGAUUAGCUUGUUGGUGGGGUAACGGCUCACCAAGGCGACGAUCCCUAGCUGGUCUGAGAGGAUGACCAGCCACACUGGAACUGAGACACGGUCCAGACUCCUACGGGAGGCAGCAGUGGGGAAUAUUGCGCAAUGGGCGAAAGCCUGAUGCAGCCAUGCCGCGUGUAUGAAGAAGGCCUUCGGAUUGUAAAGUACUGUCAGCGGGGAAGCGUUACCCGCAGAGAAAGCACCGGCUAACUCCGUGCCAGCAGCCGCGGUAAUUC